rnacentral:tRNA from 1 species
GCCGGAGUAUCCGAACUGGCACAGGAGCCCGACUCAAAAUCGGGUGGGGUAGCCCCCCGUGUGGGUUCGACUCCCACCUCCGGCACCA